UUAGUAGAAAAGAAUUGCAGUUUUGAUUAUUAACAAUAACAAUUCAUCACAUUCAAUCGUAUACGAAAUUGGGAGAUAAUAAAGUAAGAAAAUGGAAAUAAGUCACAAUGUGUGACUUUAUUGGGUUAUUCUAGAAUAAAUCAUUAUAAUAUUAUUAUAAAAAUACAAUUAUGUAAUAUUUGUGCGCCAAUAACAUGUGUCCUCGAGACCACUGCAAGUAAGUAAGUUUAUUCAGGUAUACACAAAUACAGUUACAUAGAAUUAUCAUACAUAGCAGCAUAUGUGUAGAGAACCUGGGAUAACCCAAAAAAGUCAGACUGACUUAUUUCCAUUGGGGUCCUUUUACCUUAUUAUUAUAAUAUAUAUAGAUCGUAAACAAUAUAAAUAGACCACUGAAGGUUUUUUACGUAAUUUAUACACAUUUUAUUAUGCAAUACAAUUGUUAACCUCAAAAAACUGAGUUUAGUGUAAGCCAGCGGUGUCUGCCUUGUGGUGGUUGUUUACAUCCGAGAGGCAGCCUGGCUCUCACUUAUAUACUGGUAGGUGGGCACACAGUGUGGUGUUGAGGCACUCAUACCCUCGACACACCUUCUUCAUACACCACACUACCCCAGCAGCACACACCACACUGAGCAGGAGCCUGCAGUAAUGGUCAGUGAGAGGUGGUGUGUGAGCCCAGCCUCAGGUCUGAGCCAGCCAGGCCUCACGCAAAAUGGGUCAUAGCAGUAGUGACAGUGAUGACAGCGACGAUUCAAGCCUUAAACGAAAAUCACCAUUGCUGUCCAGCAAGAAAAACGCUUGUAAUAAGAAUCACACUCCUGCAUCUGGUGGGAAAAAAAGUCCUAUAAACAGAGAAAAGUGUAGAUCCAGAUCACAGUCUAAACACAGGAGUAGUCACUCAAGAACGCCAGACAAGAAUGCACGAAAAUCUGAUCCUAGGAAAAACAGAUUGGGCUCACGGGACAGGGCUUGCAGAUCAAGAUCAAGGGAUAGAAUUUAUCAGUCCAAAUCGCAUAAUAGAAGUCAUAGGUCAAAAUCACAUGACAGGAAUCAUAGGUCUAAAUCUCGUGAUAGAAAUCGUAGAUCAAGGUCUCAUGAGAAAAAACGCAGAUCACAUGAAAAAAUGUAUAAUGCAGACUCCAAAUCAAAGAAGAAAAGUAGGUCUGGGUCCAGUUCACGAUCACGCUCUAGAUCAGGCUCGUAUUCAAAAACUA